UACGUAGGGUGCAAGCGUUAAUCGGAAUUACUGGGCGUAAAGCGUGCGCAGGCGGUGAUGUAAGACAGAUGUGAAAUCCCCGGGCUCAACCUGGGAACUGCAUUUGUGACUGCAUCGCUAGAGUACGGCAGAGGGGGAUGGAAUUCCGCGUGUAGCAGUGAAAUGCGUAGAUAUGCGGAGGAACACCGAUGGCGAAGGCAAUCCCCUGGGCCUGUACUGGCGCUCAUGCACGAAAGCGUGGGGAGCAAACAGG
rnacentral:rRNA from 1 species